CGGAAGGAUAUUGUGACGUCGGCGUCCCAUAAACCUUCUGCGACGUCCGUGUCGCUAUAGUGUUUUGCGACGUCUGUGUCGCUAUAUCGUUUUGGGAUGUCCGCAUCGCGAAAGCCAUAUUUAUUGUAGUAUUUAUUGAAUUUGAUAGACCCCUUAGCGAUUUGCGACGUCAUAAGUCGUAUUUAUUGAAUUCGAUAUCAAAUUUACUAAACCCUAAAAAAAUAUACAUAUGCACUAAACUAUUUAUACAUAUACAUUGCACAUUACACAUUAAAUAUACAUAUACAUAUACAUUAAAUAUACACAUACACAUAAAAUUAUAUUUACAAAAAAAUAUACUUACAUAUACACAUAAAUGCACAAAAAAAAACACCUACAUGAGUAAAAUAAUGACAUCAAGAUGACGGCAGUGAGUGGUGACAGCGGCAAUGGGCGAUGCAGCGGCAGAGGCGGCAACGACAACGAAUUUUCUCUCCUUCUCUCUCAAACUUUCUACCUUUCUUUUUCAAAUUUGAGUUUGCGAAUGAAUUUGGAGUUGAAAUAGGCAAGAAUUUUCACGACGUCUUCGAAAACAUCACGAAAAGAGUGUAUCUGCGACACUGGAGGUAGGUACGUCGCGGAUAAUGUUCACAUUCCGCGACGUCUUAACUAUAACUACAAUAAACUGCAAUUUGUUUUGUAAUCCACAUAGCACUGUCAUUCAUCCCAUUAAUCACUAUGAAAAACAAUUACUGCAAUCUUAACUAUAACUACAAUAAACUGCAAAAUUUUGAUAAAAUGAAAAAUAGGUAGUAUAAGUAUAUCAAUCAAGGAAAUAAAGUACAUUACUGUGCAGAGUUAACAAUAAUAAAUUCAAUAUUGUCAUCUGAGUUUGAGUACGUAUCAAGUUCACAAAGAAAUCAAACAACAUCAUACCAUCAACGAAAACACAAUUUGUUUUGUAAUCCACAUAGCAUUGUCGUUCAUUCCAUUGAUCACUAUGAAAAAUGAUUACUGCAAUCUUAACCAUGACUAUAAUAAACUGCAAAAAAUUUGAAAAAAUUAAAAAUAGGUAGUAAGUAUAUCAGUCAAUUAAUACAUAUAAUAUAAAUACAUUACAAUAUUGAUAUACUAUCACACUCCGUUUUGCACGCGUCCUUACUAUCUGUGUGAGAUGCAGUAUGACUUUGGGUAUCUUGACGCAUUAAAAGCCAAAACAUUCAGCUUAAGGUCCUUAAGCUUAGCUUAACUGUCUAUUGACUUCUUACUUAACACUUUCAUAUACUUUAGGCGUUAAACAACUUAACAAAGAAAAAUAAGAUAAACCAAAACUUUUACGAACUUUUAAACAAGGUGUUCUACAACACUUAAACUUAAAACAAAACGUUUGUAGCUAUUCUCACCCAAUAGCUUCUCACUCUUUCCUUACUUGGCCUUAACGCCUGAAGCCUCGAAAAGAAACUUUAAAAUGUAAGUCUAAAAGACUCAGGGAGGUCUUAUAAAAACAUUUAUGUAAAAUACCUUUUGUAAACAUUAAUUUGCCAAACAUAUCACUCUGCAUAAACACAUCAUAAUAAAUAGCAUAAGCAUUCAUUUCAUAAUAACAUACAUUAGUCAACAAUCAUUCCUUUAUCCAAUGACCUAAAUCAUUGAUCUCUACGCAAAAACUCAUCAUCUCGUGUAUAGAUUACUGAGAUGGUCUUAUCAUCAUCAGCAUCCGAGAUAUCCUGAUUCAUUCCUUGUUGCUCAGGCUGAGACGCAAUGCACAUCUUUUAUACAUUGUCCCGCCUCAUUUCACCAUGCACAUUUUUAUACAUGGUUGUCUUUACCCUUUAUGUGCACAUUAUAGUUAGCUCAUUAGUAGGAAGUAGACUAAUGGUUUGAACACGAUUUCAUAAAUAUUGAUACAUAUAAAACAUACUUGAAAACCUAGCAUAAGUUUCUCAUAGAAAUCUCUUGAAAACAUUCGUGUUGAAAUAAGUAUUUCAAAUCAAUAAACAUUUUAUUAAGAAAGCUUGAAAUCGUGUAAAUCACUUUAAACAAACACUCACAUUACUUGGUUACUUAAACUUCAAAGACUUCUCUUCUUCUUCCUCUCGAAUAGCUACUUCCGCUAAACUUCAAUACUUUAAAUUUUCUCUUUAGAAUUUUAGAAUAACAAUACUUAUGAAUUUGGCUAAAGACCCCUAUUUAUACUAGUUCCAAAAUAGUUUAGUUAUCCUUAAACUCUUGUCAGCAACUCCUACUCGUAGUGGUACAUGUGUAAGCUUAAGAUUUAACUUAAUCAUGUUUAGCUUAAACCUUCACACAUGGCCCAUUAAGUAAACUUAGAAAAAUUCUGAGAAGUUUUCUUACUUCUUCACGCCUAAUCUUUCAUCUCGUGUAGUACCUUAAUCGCAUACUAACACUUAAACGCCUAGAAGUCCUAUCACAUAACCUUUUCUCAAUGCAUACUUAACUUAAUUGUCAACUUCUUACCACAUAGAUUGCUCAAAACACCCUCUUUGAAACACUUGGCUAAUAAUUCAGCCUUUCUUAGGUACAGAUCUUAGUAAAACCAAAACAGAACCAACGUAAAAAAAAAAAAAACAAAAUUAUUUGAAAUCAGAUUCAACUCCAAAAUUCACAUUAAAGAAAGUUGAGAAUACAAUAACAUAUAAAGUUAAAUUCCUCGUAUCAACAACCAUUAUAUAUCAUAUUUAAAUUAAUGUUACAUGAAAUUAAAUGGUUUGACAAAUAAAUAAAAUCUCGUUUUGUUUUUAAUUUUAAAGACAAUAGAAAAGCACAUAAAUAAAAUUAAAAAGAAAAAGUAACAAAAAGGAAAAUGGUAGGAUUCACUAUUUUACCACCUUUGCCAUUUUUCACCAUUUUCUCUUCCCUCACUUCUUCUCCUUCGUUUUUUCCAUAUCAAUCCUCUUCACUUUAUUUUCUUAUUCUUCUUUUAUAAACUUCUUGUUUUAGUAUCCUUUUGUUACUAUUAUUGUCCUCAAAAUUGGUGCUCCAACACAAAUUCAAGCUGCCUUACACAUCAUUUUGAAAUUCCUAAUUUGUGAUGUCUCCAAAUUAAAGUUAUGCUUUCAUGGUUCUCGUCCUUUUGGCUAAAGGUUCUCAUCUACAACGUUCAACAUUUUUCUAACCAUCACAUUUUAUCCAUUCCAAUCGAAUUUAGGACAUGGGAUUGGAAACUGAGAUGCUUCGAAAGGGAAAAAAAAUGGUAAAAUUGGAAUUUAAGAACAUAAAAGUCUGACUUAGAUUAUUGUUGCUAUAUUUACGAAACCACAAACCUUAAAGCAAAAUACCUAAACUAUUUUGCCAUAUGGGUUUAGGCAGAGAGAGAGGAAUUUGUGAACUACAAAAUUGAGUUUUCUUUUUAACUCAAUCAAUAAUAAUUUGCAUAUUCUUGUGGUUUUGAAGGUGAACACAGAGUUCCACUAAAACUUGUUUCCUUUGAAAACGAACAGAGAGAGUAGUGAAGAAGAUGUUAACAAUUGAUAGUUAAACAAUGAAAAUAUAUACCAAUUACCUUGCAGAAUUAAAGAGUGUCCAAUAUAUGUUAAGAGAUGCUAUACAAAACUCCAACCUUUUUCCAUUGAAACGUUCGUUGAUGGUCAUCUAACCAAAUGCUUGAUAAUGGUUAGAUUUUGGAUGGUGAGAUGACCAACAACAAAAGUAUCGAUGGCUAAAGCAAUCGUCUCAUUCUGAGUCGUUCUCACCACACCAACUAAACACAAAGACC
rnacentral:lncRNA from 1 species